rnacentral:rRNA from 1 species
AAGCAUCGGCUAACUCCGUGCCAGCAGCCGCGGUAAUACGGAGGGUCCGAGCGUUAUCCGGAAUCAUUGGGUUUAAAGGGUCCGUAGGCGGGCCGUUAAGUCAGGGGUGAAAGUCUGCGGCUCAACCGUAGAAUUGCCUUUGAUACUGGCGGUCUUGAGUCAUGGUGGGGUUGCCGGAACAUGUGGUGUAGCGGUGAAAUGCAUAGAUAUCACAUAGAACACCGAUCGCGAAGGCAGGUGACCAACCAUGUACUGACGCUGAUGGACGAAAGCGUGGGUAGCGAACGGGAUUAGAUACCCCGGUAGUCCACGCCGUAAACGAUGGAUACUAGCUGUGGGGACUUCGGUCUCCGUGGCCAAGCGAAAGUGAUAAGUAUCCCACCUGGGGAGUACGUUCGCAAGAAUGAAACUCAAAGGAAUUGACGGGGGCCCGCACAAGCGG